GCACCGGUAGCUCAGUUGGAUAGAGUACUUGACUACGAAUCAAGGGGUCGGGGGUUCGAAUCCUCCCCGGUGCG
rnacentral:tRNA from 1 species